rnacentral:rRNA from 1 species
CAGCAGCCGCGGUAAAACGAGGGGGGCAAGCGUUGUUCGGAAUUAUUGGGCGUAAAGGGUGCGUAGGCGGCUUGACAAGUCUUGUGUGAAAUCUAUGGGCUCAACCCAUAGUCUGCACGGGAAACUGUCGGGCUUGAGAAUGGGAGAGGUGAGUGGAAUUUCCGGUGUAGCGGUGAAAUGCGUAGAUAUCGGAAGGAACACCUGUGGCGAAAGCGGCUCACUGGACCAUUUAUGACGCUGAUGCACGAAAGCUAGGGGAGCAAACAGGAUUAGAUACCCGGGUAGUCCCUGUCUCUUAUAC